GAGCCCUCCCCAAGAGAGCACAAGAGGUGAUGAUCACUUCUGAGAAAAGCCCCUCGGAAGAAUCCAGAACCACUUGCAUCCCUAGAGAGAGCCCACAGAUACAUUUUUCAUUCUAAGGACACCCUAAUCGUCACCUGACGCUGUCACCGAGGUUUCAGCUUCGACACGUUCCUUCCACAUCAGCUCCUCCACGUGCUCUAAUUAAUGCAGGUGUCCUGCACGAGGAGAUUACGGCGGCUCGUAGACACCCCAGAUGAGACACCGGGGAAGGAGCCAGGAGAGCCAAGCUCUCCCACCCGCACCCCACAACACCCUGCCUGUCACAUUGCUCUUUUCUUGGUUCCAGAAACAUGUUAAGUAUCAUAACUUAAAUGAACGUAAGUUUUCCAAAUUGAAAGUAAAAUUUUCAAUCCCUAUCUACAUAUAUUCUGUUAAGUCUAAAGCCCAAUAACAGACUACACUGUUUACUUUAAAAACUAAAAUAGAAGACAAAACAAGACACAAUUAAGUCAGAGAAAGACAAACACUGUAUGAUCUCACUUAUGUGUGGAAUAAAAAACAAACUCAGAAGCAGCAAUCAGACUAGUGAUUACCAGUGGUGGGGAGUCAAGGGAGGGGGAAUUGGAAGAAAGUGGUCAAAAGAUACAAGCUUAGACUUCCGCCAAGGUGGAGGCAUAGGUGGAGGCGCCGUGCCUUCUCACACAACCAAGUUUAGAGACAAAUAAAUAUUAGCAACAGAAAACACAGCCAGAACACAGAAAAUUGAACUUUUUGGAAGUCUGUUAACAAAUUCUUCAGCCUGACUGGUAAGGGGCGAAACCAGCACCUGGCGGAGUGGGGUUGUACAGGAAAACUCAGUCAGACGGACUCGGGCGUGCGGAAUCCAGGUGCAGGGUUGGACCUGGUGGGCAACUCAGCAAGCAAUCGCGGGGAAACAGCGAGGGAGCAGGGCUGCGGGUUGACUGUGGUCCCGCAUUUGUGCGCGGAUAGACAAGCGAGGGAG